GAGGGUGACUAAGUGAAUGUUGUUUGCCGUCGCGUGUCGCUGAAUCACAGUGAAGUCCACAGGCAGGCGGAUGGAUUGGACCUGAAUCAACAAAUGGAUACAGAAAAACUGGAUGUACACUGCAUAUGAAGAGAAAAAAAGGGAGGAUGAAGAGUCUGCCUUCAUAUCCUUUUAUCUCUGCAUCAGAUACUGCUGUGAGGAGCCCACGGGGAGGGAAAGGAAAAUAGCGGACAACUCAUUUCUCUCUAACACCCUUGGAAACUGAGGAGCUGUGAGCCAGAAUAGACUGUGGGACUCACUAGGAUUGAAUAUAUGCUUAUGCCGGUGUGUUUGUGUAUGUGAGUGUGUGUGUGUGUGAGAGCUGAUAAUAGCAGCCCGAUUGGUAUUCAGUGGAGGGAGCUCCAGGAUCUCGCUGCGCCUUUCCCCAGGAUGGGAUCACAGAGCAGGGAUUGUACUCGCCUGUGGAGAGCCCACUGAAAUGGAUCUGAAGCCUUGCAGAGAUGGACACCAAAUGGGCAGCAUGGAAGCCAACAUAAACCCUCCAGAAGCUAGCUUUCCACACCUAACUGCCUCCACAAACUCCAGGCAUCAGCUUGAACCAUCCCAGCGAGGGCUGUGCCUGCAGAGUUGAGGUUGGACAGACCAGUCUGCGACACCAGAAGCUGUCUACGGGAAUAUAGCUGGAAGUAAAGAAAAGCAG